rnacentral:piRNA from 1 species
UACUCUCUCGGACAAGCUGUAGGU